GACGAACGCUGGCGGCGUGCCUAAUACAUGCAAGUCGAACGAGUGGCGGACGGGUGAGUAAUGCUUGGGAAUCUAGCUUAUGGAGGGGGAUAACUACGGGAAACUGUCGCUAAUAACGCGUACCAUAGGAUGAGCACAAGUGGGAUUAGGUAGUUGGUGGGGUAAUGGCUUACCAAGCCGACGAUCUAUAGCUGGUCUGAGAGGAUGACCGGACAAACUGGGACUGAGCAACGGCCCAGACUCCUACGGGAGGCAGCAGUGGGGAAUUUGGGACAAUGGGCGCAAGCCUGAGCCAGCCAUGCCGCGUGUCUGAAGAAGGCCUUCGGGUUGUAAAGGACUUUUGUCAGGGAAGCGGUACCUGAAGAAUAAGCACCGGCUAACUACGUGCCAGCAGCCGCGGUAAUG
rnacentral:rRNA from 1 species